AACGUAGGAGACGAGCGUUAUCCGGAUUUACUGGGCGUAAAGCGCGUGCAGGCGGCAUGGCAAGUUGGAUGUGAAAGCUCCCGGCUUAACUGGGAGAGGUCGUUCAAUACUGCCAGGCUUGAGAGUGGUAGAGGGAAGCGGAAUUCCGGGUGUAGUGGUGAAAUGCGUAGAUAUCCGGAGGAACACCAGUAGCGAAAGCGGCUUCCUGGCCCAUUUCUGACGCUCAGACGCGAAAGCUAGGGUAGCAAACGGG
rnacentral:rRNA from 1 species